rnacentral:rRNA from 1 species
AGAGUUUGAUUCUGGCUCAGGACAAACGCUGGCGGCGUGCGUAACACAUGCAAGUUGAACGCGAAUAUAUGAGAAGUGGUAACACGGAUUGUAUGUUUGAGUAGCGGACGGGUGAGUACAACAUGAGAACCUAUCCUUCAAAGGGGGACAACGUUUGGAAACGGACGCUAAUACCCCAUAAGCCGAGAGGUUAAAGCAGCGAUGCGAUGGAGGAGGGGCUCGUGUCCUAUCAGCUAGUUGGUGGGGUAAUGGCCUACCAAGGCGACGACGGGUAGCCGGCCUGAGAGGGUGUACGGCCACACUGGAACUGAGAUACGGUCCAGACUCCUACGGGAGGCAGCAGUGGGGAAUAUUGGGCAAUGGGAGAAAUCCUGACCCAGCGACGCCGCGUGAACGAAGACGGCCUUCGGGUUGUAAAGUUCUUUUAUGUGGGAAGAAAAGAAUGACGGUACCACAUGAAUAAGCCCCGGCUAACUACGUGCCAGCAGCCGCGGAAUGNAS